rnacentral:RNase_P_RNA from 1 species
CGAGAUGGCCGGACGGCCGCGACGCCACUUUCGGGUGGCGCCGAGGAAAGUCCGGGCUCCAAGGUGUAAAGGCAGCGGGUAACGCCCGUCCGCCGCAAGGCGCGGACUAGUGCCACAGAGACGAGUCCACCCGAGCCUCGGUUCGCGGUGGGGUGAAACGCGGCAAACUCUGCCUGGAGCAAGGUCGAAUAGGGAGGCAUCCUGGUCGUUCGCGACCAGGCCGGCACACCGCCGGGACCUCCGGGUUGACCGCUAGAGCCGUCGAGCGAUCGACGGACAAGAUGGAUGGCCGCCCAGCCCCGCAAGGGGGGGACAGAACCCGGCUUAUAGGCCAUCUCGCCGG